CCUCCUCCUUUCUCUUCCCCUGGCCUCCAAACUUAGGUCGUCUCUGUUUUUUGCCGCCACCGGCCGCCGGCUAUCCGGGCGCCCCUACCUCCCUGAGUUCAGCGCGUACGGCAGCAGCCAGUGCUGAACCGAGGGCUACGGCACGGGUAAUCGCUAGUGUCGAACUGUAGCCAGGACAUGGGGUGCUCCGAGAUCCAGCAGACGUAAUUCCAGAUGGAUACAUCUUGAACUCCAGGCAGGGCUAGAGAUUGAAAUUUCGAGCGUAGUCAUGGUGGAUAUGCUCUGAUGAUCAAAUAUCUUGUGAGGUACUAGGCAUGGCCCUUUUUUUUCUCUUUACUGGACUUCCUACCAUGCCGUGAUGCUCCAAGUUUAUGAUCAUAUGAUGACUCAUAAAAUUUCUGAAACAUGAUGUUCUACCUGUUCCUUGUCUCAAUCUCAACUUUCAUGCUGAGAUGUUGAGAUGUGCCAUGGUCCAAAUAUUGUUGUGAGGAGUGAUAUUGGUGUGGCAUCUAAGACCGCCUAACCCACUCUUUGGACUAUGCAAAACCUUUUAGGUAACCCCCAGGGUUGUUUUGAAGGUGGCUUUUGCUGCCAUUGUAGCUAAUCUGUUCUUUGAUUUGAUUGCUUCAAACUUUUUGUUUGUACUCUUUUGAGCUCUUAGCUACUAAUUUUUUUAAAAAAAAUUGAUGUUAUUGCUGAAAUUUACUCUAGCAGCAAAAUUAAAGGUUUGAGGUCCCUGAUGAUCGCCAACCAUAGCCACCUGGUAUUUGUUUUACUAUUGAGAAUCUCUAUUUGUUUUUUUGCCCCUGGUGUUGUUGUUUUAGUUUCUCAAAUUUGUUCGAUUUUUUUGCGUACCUUCAGACCCAAUAUAUGACCUUUGUAGUCAAAUCAAAGUGAGUUCCUGCAGAUAAAUUUUGUUCAGAGUCAUUCAGUAAUCUAGAUACAUUUCCUGUCUGAAUUGUCACUUAAAAAAAGACUUGGACCUAAAUCAGAAAGAUUCCUAAAGUGAUAUUUCGUAUCAGUUUUAAUACUGGGAAAAAGUUCCCGUUCUCACCUGAACCUACAAUUUCUUAAUUGCUUCAAAGUUCUUUCUAAUUUUAUCUGAAGCACAAGUAUGUUUCUCUGAUGAUUACCUUGAAUCAUGAACUUGCCACUUUGCAUUGCUGUUAGUUUUUUUUUUGUUAUCUUCUCUAGUUAAUUGAGUGAUCUUCUGAUGGUUGCUUAAUUCUAAUACACUUGAUCACUGAAACUCCAGAGAUUCCCGGGCAAUAUAAUCUUUCUCAAGUGUCAUGCUGAGAAUGAGAUAAUACACACUCUUGCAUUCUUAGCUGGUGCAUAGUCAGCUCAGACGACAUGCCGUACGAGGAGGAUCAAGAGCAAGUGAACGAGGAAGAGCAAUAGCAAUUUGGCGACGAAGGCAAG